rnacentral:sRNA from 1 species
GUUUAGCCCCGAUUGCAGUGAAAAUCCCACGCUUUUUGGCGUGGAUUGUAACGGAAAGCGGGAGGGAAG